UACGGGGGGAGCAAGCGUUGUUCGGAUUUACUGGGCGUAAAGCGCGCGUAGGCGGACGUUUAAGUCAGGGGUGAAAUCCCAGGGCUCAACCCUGGAACGGCCUUUGAUACUGGACGUCUGGAGAUCGGGAGAGGUUGGUGGAAUUCCGAGUGUAGAGGUGAAAUUCGUAAGAUAUUCGGAGGAACACCAGAAGCGAAGGCGGCCAACUGGCCCGAUACUGACGCUGAGGCGCGAAAGCGUGGGGAGCAAACAGG
rnacentral:rRNA from 1 species